UACGUAGGGGGCCAGCGUUGUCCGGAAUCAUUGGGCGUAAAGCGCGCGUAGGCGGCCAGAUAAGUCCGGUGUGAAAGUCAAAGGCUCAACCUUUGAAUGCCGCUGGAAACUGUCUGGCUUGAGUCCGGGAGGGGCGAGUGGAAUUCCUGGUGUAGCGGUGAAAUGCGCAGAUAUCGGGAGGAACACCUGUGGCGAAGGCGGCCCCCUGGUUGGAUACUGACGCUGAUACGCGAAAGCGUGGGGAGCAAACAGG
rnacentral:rRNA from 1 species